rnacentral:rRNA from 1 species
GUCCACGCCCUAAACGAUGUCAACUGGUUGUUGGACGGCUUGCUGUUCAGUAACGAAGCUAACGCGUGAAGUUGACCGCCUGGGGAGUACGGCCGCAAGGUUGAAACUCAAAAGGAAUUGACGGGGACCCGCACAAGCGGUGGAUGAUGUGGUUUAAUUCGAUGCAACGCGAAAAACCUUACCUACCCUUGACAUGUCUGGAAUCCUGAAGAGAUUUAGGAGUGCUCGAAAAGAGAGCCAGAACACAGGUGCUGCAUGGCCGUCGU